AUGACUCUCGGCAACGGAUAUCUUGGCUCACGCAUCGAUGAAGAACGUAGCAAAAUGCGAUACUUGGUGUGAAUUGCAGAAUCCCGUGAACCAUCGAGUUUUUGAACGCAAGUUGCGCCCGAAGCCAUUCGGCCGAGGGCACGUCUGCCUGGGCGUCACGCA
rnacentral:rRNA from 1 species